rnacentral:lncRNA from 1 species
GUCAAACUGACCACAGCAAUACUUUGUUCCAUUGUCCGAUUUGAUGGACUUGAUCUUGCUGUUGCAUUCAUUUUCUAUCAAAUUUUUAAAUCUCUGAAACACAGUUGCUAUCUCAGAUUUCAUUCUCAAAAAAAAUACCCAACACAUUCUUGACAUAUCAUCUAUGAAAAGGAUGAAAUAUCUACUGCCAUUCAUGGUUGGGAUCCUCAUAAGUCCACAAACAUCUGACUGCACCAAUUCAAGUUUCUUUGUUGCCCUUCUUACUUGAUUUUUUGAAAAUGGUAACCUGGUUUGCUUUCCAUACUGACAUACAUCACACACACAAUCAUUGUUGUUGAUUUCAGGCAUAUUUUCCACAAGCUUCAAAUCAUGCAAAUGCUUAAGUGAUGUAUAGCUAGCAUGCCCAAAUCUUUUGUGCCAUAAGGAGGAUUCGAUUAAUGUGGUUGCAAGUGCUUGAUCACUCACAUUUUUCCACUCCAAUGGAAAACUCCUAUGUCUCAUUCCUACUUUCAUAACUUCUUGAUUUUGUGGAUCAAGUAUGGUGCAUCUAUUAUCUUUAAAUAUAAGUGUGUAGUCUUUUUCAAUCAAUUGACCAACGCUAAUCAGAUUCUGAUCAAUAAUAGGCACAUAUAAAACAUCUGAUAUGAGUUUGGUACCUGUUGAGGUCUGUACUGCUAUUUCUCCAGCACCUUUUACCUCCACAAACUCACCAUUUCCAACCUUAACUCUUGACGUGAGUUUGUCAUUCAUCUUGGUAAAGAUGCUUAAGUUGGAUGUCAUAUGGUGAGUGCAUCCACUAUCUAGCAACCAGG